AGGUAGCGAAAUUCCUUGUCAGGUAAGUUCUGACCCGCACGAAAGGUGUAACGAUUUGGGCGCUGUCUCGGCAGCAGACUCGGUGAAAUCUUAGUACCUGUGAAAAUGCAGGUUACCCGCAACUAGACGGAAAGACCCCAUGGAGCUUUACUGCAGCCUGAUAUUGAAUUCUGGUCAUACAUGUACAGGAUAGGUGGGAGACAAAGAGACGUGCACGCCAGUGUACGAGGAGUCGGCGUUGGGAUACCACUCUUGUGUGACCGGGGUUCUAACCUGGUAUCGAGAACAGGUACGGGGAGAGUGUCAGGUGGGCAGUUUGACUGGGGCGGUCGCCUCCCAAAGAGUAACGGAGGCGCCCAAAGGUACGCUCAGAUUGGAUGGAAACCAAUCGUCGAGUGCAAUUGCAGAAGCGUGCUUGACUGUGAGACAGACAAGUCGAACAGGGACGAAAGUCGGGAAUAGUGAUCCGGCGGUGCCGAAUGGAAGGGCCGUCGCUCAACGGAUAAAAGCUACCCUGGGGAUAACAGGCUGAUCUCGCCCAAGAGUUCACAUCGACGGCGAGGUUUGGCACCUCGAUGUCGGCUCAUCGCAUCCUGGAGCUGGAUUCGGUUCCAAGGGUUGGGCUGUCCGCCCAUUAAAGCGGUACGCGAGCUGGGUUCAGAACGUCGUGAGACAGUUCGGUCCCUAUCUGUUGUGGGCGAAGGAGAUCUGCGGAGAGCUGUCCUCAGUACGAGAGGACCGGGAUGGACCUACCGCUGGUGCACCGGUUGUUCCGCCAGGGGCAUAGCCGGGUAGCUAAGUAGGGAAAGGAUAAGCGCUGAAAGCAUCUAAGCACGAAGCCUACUCCAAGAUGAGAUCUCCCAUUCGCAAGAAGUAAGACCCCUUAAAGACGAUAAGGUAGAUAGGCCAGGGAUGGAAGUGCAGUGAUGUACGGAGUUGACUGGUACUAAUCGGUCGAGGACUUAAUCAG
rnacentral:rRNA from 1 species